AGUGUUGGUGAACUUCGUCAAACAGAAGUGAAAAUUAUAAGUAAUGAAAUUUGCAACAAAAGAGAAGUAUAUAAUGGAGCCAUUUCAUCUGGAAUGCUCUGUGCUGGAUACCUAGAAGGAGGAAGCGAUGCUUGUCAGGGUGAUUCUGGUGGACCAUUGGUUACAUCUGAUUCAAGAGGAAUAUGGUACCUUGUUGGCAUAGUAAGCUGGGGAGAUGAAUGUGCUAAGCCAAAUAAACCUGGAGUCUAUACACGAGUUACUUACUAUCGAGAUUGGAUUGCUUACCAUACAGGAAUCUGAAAUAAUGACGAGUAACUUUAUAUAAAUGUAUGAGAUCCAAGAUAUUUUUCUUACAAACAGUCAUGCUGCUCUGGUAAAUUCUAUUGAAUAGGGAUUUGUUUUUCUGCUGGAGGCCUCAACACUAUUCCUUCCCAUAUUAUUUCAGAUCCAUGUCUCAUUAUAUUAUAUUAUAAACACUGUUCAUGUGUUAUACAAGAAGAUGAAUAGACUGAAGUAUUUAUCUGCAACCAACAAAAUAAUUUUUUUUGUAACUCUUUAUGAUUCCCAUCCUUAAAAUGCUGCAUUGUGGCACCUCCUUGAUUGCAUUGAAUGUUCAACUCUCCCAACAACUUUGAUAAUUUGGCCAAACUUUUGUUUUGUUUUGAGUGUGUGGUAUUAUUCAAGGAAAGUUGCUGCAUCAUCUCUUCCAGGGAUUGGAGUACUCAGAAACAUAACUCUUUUACAACUGUAUUGCAAAAAUGGAGAAGAUUCUUGGGUGAAGGAUCUUCCAUGGUCUUCCUUAAUUCAUGAAGCCUAGAAAGAGACAUGCCAUGCAGAUUGGGAAAGUAUUGAAGUAAGGAUCAGUUAGUUUGCACCAGUCUUGCUAUUAUAUCAAAUGUGAUAUAAAAGUGCAAUUGCUCACCUUCUUAAAAUAAUUAUGUGGUUUCUCAUGAUCUUUCAAUGACCUUUUCCUAAUCUGAUACCCUCCAGAAUGCUUUGAAUUGCAACUCCCAACAUGGACCAUUUUGAGAAAACAGAACCAAAAGCAUUUAAUAUUCAGUCAAUUCAAAUUAAAUAACAUUUACCUGGAUAGGGAAGAGGAAAUUUAGUGAAAACAAUGUUAGUGAGUUAGCUUGCUAAGUUGAUUUUUAUUAUAAAUAAAAAUUCCAGUGUUUUAUUUAUAAUUCAUUUCAGUUACCCUGUUUCCCCUAAAAUAAGACCUCCCCAGAUAAUAAGCCCAGUCAGGAUUUUGAACACAUAUGCUAAAAUAAGCCCUCCCUGAAAAUAAGCUCUCCCCGAAAAUUAGCUCUCCCCGAAAAUAUUAAACAGCAUGCGCAGCUGGUCCCCACCAUUUCCUCUGGUUUGGGUUAGGGAGACAGAGCUGGAAAUCAGGUAAGACGGCAAGAAGAGCCCCGUCUUGUUCCAUGUGCCCCAAAAUAAUAAGACCUUCCCGAAAAUAAGGCCAAGUGCUUAUUUCGAGAUCCAAAAAAAUAUAAGACAGAGUCUUAUUUUCAGGGAAACACGGUAGAAGAAAUGCUAAUAUAGUUUUCCAUGUUUAUAAUAGCUUCCGCAAACAUUGUCCUUUCCUUUUUCUGUAUAUUUCUUGUUGCUCAAAUACAACCCAGGAUUAUUUAAAGAGUUGGAAACAUUUUUUAAAAUACAUUUCCUUCCAUUCCUUACUCUUAUAUGGCAAAAUUUAAAGAAAAAUAUGAGACAAAAGAAGAUCAAUGUUGCAAAAAUUAUGUGCUUUGAUUAUAGCAUCUGUAAAGCUCUAUUUUGAAGCUAUCCAAGCAUGCUUAAGGGUUACUUAUUUCUAAGUAAUAAUGUUUAAAAUGCAGUAACAUUUUUUAAUUCAAUGGGAUUGACAUUAUUAAGACAUGUUUCAUAUCGAGGAGUUCAGCCUGUUCUUUCUUUGGUGAAUAUUCAACUUAACAAAAAUAUUAUUUUGCAUUGCAACCCAUCUGUUAUGCCUUAAUGAUCACAAAUCCCAUAAAUAAACACCACGUGACCAGUGAAAACUUUAUCAUUCUGGUAUCAACAUAUGUGUAACAAAUCAUUUAUAUUUCCAAUCUUUGGGCUGGCUGGCCAAGACUGACAUUUCAAACUGUGUAAGACUCUAAAUCAGCCUUCUGAGUCUGGUGGAACCCCUAAAAUAUUAUUCUGACUUUAGAAAACUCCUGAAUAUUUAGGUUCAAAUAUAGGCCAGAAGUUACAAAAUUAUUAUAUUCAUUUUAUGUGUAGUCAUGCACAUGUCAUGCAUUACUAAAAAUAAAGAAUUAAAACUUU